UAGUAGUAUGGUGGGGGUGGCGAGUAGACUGGAGGAGGAGGUGACUUGUAGUAGUAUGGUGGUGGAGGAGAGUAGACGGGUGGAGGUGGUGACUUGUAAUAGUAUGGUGGGGGUGGCGAGUAAACUGGAGGAGGAGGUGACUUGUAGUAGUAUGGUGGUGGAGGAGAGUAGACGGGUGGAGGUGGUGACUUGUAGUAGUAUGGUGGGGGAGGAGAGUAAACGGGUGGAGGUGGUGACUUGUAGUAGUAUGGUGGGGGAGGAGAGUAGACAGGUGGGGGUGGUGACUUGUAGUAGUAUGGUGGGGGAGGAGAGUAGACAGGUGGGGGUGGUGACUUGUAGUAGUAUGGUGGGGGAGGAGAGUAGACAGGUGGAGGUGGUGACUUGUAGUAGUAUGGUGGGGGAGGAGAGUAGACGGGUGGAGGUGGUGACUUGUAGUAGUAUGGUGGUGGUGGAGAGUAGACUGGAGGAGGAGGUGACUUGUAGUAAUAUGGUGGUGGAGGAGAGUAGACGGGUGGAGGAGGUGACUUGUAGUAGUAUGGUGGGGGAGGAGAGUAGACGGGUGGAGGUGGUGACUUGUAGUAGUAUGGUGGUGGUGGAGAGUAUACUGGAGGUGGUGGUGAUUUGUAGUAGUAUGGUGGAGGUGGAGAGUAUACUGGAGGUGGUGGUGACUUGUAGUAGUAUGGUGGAGGUGGAGAGUAUACUGGAGGAGGUGGUGAUUUGUAGUAGUAUGGUGGGGGAGGAGAGUACACUGGAGGUGGUGGUGAUUUGUAGUAGUAUGGUGGAGGUGGAGAGUAUACUGGAGGAGGUGGUGACUUGUAGUAGUAUGGUGGAGGAGGGGAAUAUACUGGAGGCGGUGGUGACUUGUAAUAGUACACAGGUGAAGGUGGGGGAGGUGACUUGUAGAUAG
rnacentral:lncRNA from 1 species